GAUCAUGGCUCAGGAUGAACGCUGGCGGCGUGCUUAACACAUGCAAGUCGAACGAGCGCCUUCGGGCGCGAGUGGCGGACGGGUGAGUAACGCGUGGGUAACCUGCCCUGUACAGGGGAAUAACAGAGAGAAAUCUCUGCUAAUGCCGCAUAAGCGCACGGCACUGCAUGGUGCUGUGUGAAAAGCUCCGGCGGUACAGGAUGGACCCGCGUCUGAUUAGCUGGUUGGCGGGGUAACGGCCCACCAAGGCGACGAUCAGUAGCCGGCCUGAGAGGGUGAACGGCCACAUUGGGACUGAGAUACGGCCCAGACUCCUACGGGAGGCAGCAGUGGGGAAUAUUGCACAAUGGGGGAAACCCUGAUGCAGCGACGCCGCGUGAGUGAAGAAGUAAUUCGUUACGUAAAGCUCUAUCAGCAGGGAAGAAAAUGACGGUACCUGACUAAGAAGCCCCGGCUAACUACGUGCCAGCCGCCGC
rnacentral:rRNA from 1 species